rnacentral:snRNA from 1 species
AUCUUUUCUUGGCUUUUAGCUAAAAAAAAAAAAAAAAAUCUGUUCUUAUCAGUUUAAUAUCUGAUACGUCCCCUACCCGGGACCAUAUAUUAAAUUGAUUUUUGGAGCAGGGAGAUGGAAUAGGGCUUGCUCCGUCCACUCCACGCAUCGACCUGGUAUUGCAGUAUUUCUAGGAACGGUGCACCCCCU